rnacentral:rRNA from 1 species
GGGCUGCAGUGGGGAAUUUUGGGCAAUGGGCGAAAGCCUGACCCAGCAACGCCGCGUGGAGGAAGAAGGUUUUCGGAUCGUAAACUCCUGUCCCACGAGACGAAGAAAGUGACGGUAUCGUGGGAGGAAGCCCCGGCUAACUCCGUGCCAGCAGCCGCGGUAAUACGGGGGGGGCAAGCGUUGUUCGGAAUUACUGGGCGUAAAGGGCGCGUAGGCGGCUUCGGAAGUCAAGGGUGAAAGCCCCGAGCUCAACUCGGGAACUGCCUUUGAAACCACGGAGCUAGAGUGUUGGAGAGGAAAGCGGAAUUUCCAGUGUAGCGGUGAAAUGCGUAGAUAUUGGAAGGAACAUCUGAGGCGAAGGCGGCUUUCUGGACAAACACUGACGCUGAGGCGCGAAAGCUAGGGGAGCAAACGGGAUUAGAUACCCCAGUAGUC